GAUGAACGCUGGCGGCGUGCCUAAUACAUGCAAGUCGAGCGAACAGACGAGGAGCUUGCUCCUCUGACGUUUGCGGCGGACGGGUGAGUCACACGUGGAUAACCUACCUAUAAGACUGGGAUAACUUCGGGAAACCGGAGCUAAUACCGGAUAAUAUAUUGAACCGCAUGGUUCAAUAGUGAAUGACGGUUUUGCUGUCACUUCUCGAUGGUUCCGCGCCGCAUUAGCUAGUUGGUAAGGUAACGGGUUACCAAGGCAACGAUGCGUAGCCGACCUGAGAGAGUGAUCGGCCACACGGGAGCUGAGACACGGUCCAGACUCCUACGGGAGGCAGCAGUAGGGAAUCGUCCGCAAUGGGCGAAAGCUUGACGGAGCAACGCCGCGUGAGUGAUGAAGGUCUUCGGAUCGUAAAACUCUGUUAUGAGGGAAGAACAAAUGUGUAAGUAACUAUGCACGUCUUGACGGUACCUAAUCAGAAAGCCACGGCUAACUACGUG
rnacentral:rRNA from 1 species